AUGAAAUUGAGGAUCGAUACACACACAAUACUCUAUUCCUAUUGGCUGUUGGAUGAAAUUGAGGAUCACCUUCACCAUUCUCUCUUCAUGCCAUUACCCUUCAAUUUCUUCACUCACAGAAAAAAAAACAAAAAGGGUGACAACACAACAAACUGCAUAUCACCACAUUUCAACUCCUCCUUCAAUCCCCCCCACCUACUGUACAAACGUUACCUUCCAUCCAUCGCAUACCCACCUCACUGUUUUCACCAACAUAACCCAGCAAUCCAAACACUCCCUCCUUUUUCCCUUCAUCUCAAUUUCGCUAACCGUCUUCCAAAUUCCCUUCAUUCUCUUCACAUACAAACAUCUCACGAUCUCCUUUCAUUCAA